rnacentral:rRNA from 1 species
UACGAGGGGGCAAGCGUUGUUCGGAAUUAUUGGGCGUAAAGGGUGCGUAGGCGGUUUUGUAAGUCUUGUGUGAAAUCUUCAGGCUCAACUUGAAGACUGCACGAGAAACUGCAGGGCUUGAGUGUGGGAGAGGUGAGUGGAAUUCCUGGUGUAGCGGUGAAAUGCGUAGAUAUCAGGAGGAACACCUGUGGCGAAAGCGGCUCACUGGACCACAACUGACGCUGAGACGCGAAAGCGUGGGGAGCGAACAGG